GACGAACGCUGGCGGCGUGCCUAAUACAUGCAAGUAGAACGCUGAAGGAGGAGCUUGCUUCUCUGGAUGAGUUGCGAACGGGUGAGUAACGCGUAGGUAACCUGCCUGGUAGCGGGGGGUAACUAUUGGAAACGAUAGCUAAUACCGCAUAACAGUAGAUAUCGCAUGAUAUCUACUUGAAAGGUGCAAUUGCAUCACUACCAGAUGGACCUGCGUUGUAUUAGCUAGUUGGUGAGGUAACGGCUCACCAAGGCGACGAUACAUAGCCGACCUGAGAGGGUGAUCGGCCACACUGGGACUGAGACACGGCCCAGACUCCUACGGGAGGCAGCAGUAGGGAAUCUUCGGCAAUGGACGGAAGUCUGACCGAGCAACGCCGCGUGAGUGAAGAAGGUUUUCGGAUCGUAAAGCUCUGUUGUAAGAGAAGAACGAGUGUGAGAGUGGAAAGUUCACACUGUGACGGUAUCUUACCAGAAAGGGACGGCUAACUACGUG
rnacentral:rRNA from 1 species